UUUAGAUAUUUACAUACAUGUAUACGUUUCAUAUUAACACACUUGAGAUAAUAUCAUGAACGGUAUUUUUACUAGUUGCAAAUUACAAGUUACUAGUGCUAGCAAUUUUUUACACGAAAGUAAGAAGGUUAGAAAUAAAACACCAAAGAGAUGUUCAAGCACGAAGAUUGACGCAAUGGCGGGAUCUUUGAGGGGAAUUUCCGUGAAUUUUCGCAAGGAAACGAGCACGCGGCAUCCCGUCUCGAAAGUUUUCCUUUCAGAUCUCCACCGAUUCGUAAACGAAGAUUUCGACUUCAACGUUUCGCGUUCGCAUCGUUCGUAAACAAAGUCUGUGCAGUGCGUGGGUCGUCGUGCCUAGAAGAAUUUCGCGAAUGUUCGCAAUAUUUCGCGUCCGAUUCACCGAUAAAGAUUGAAGUCUCCAGCGAUUCUAUUGCGGUCGCCUAUAUGUUUCGCGGAAUUUCCAGCGGAAUGAAAUGCCGCUUCGUCCAACUAUCGGCCGAACUCUCAACUAUUCCUCAGAUCUUCAACUAAAGCUAAAAGAGAUCCCGGUCAGAGAUGAAAGGAACCUAGCAAGGACAAAGAAAGAAGGUCCUGCUUCUGCCGACUUAGUCCUUGGAAUUCAGCCAAUUCGUAUAAGAGCUCUGUCCGCUUUUCCCGUCAGCGAACUAUUUAUCUGAGAGAGUACAGACUCUGCUGUUUUGUCUUUAGGAUCGAUCAUUCGAAGACAGUUUAUUUUUUUAAUUCUAUUAGAAUGUCCCAAUCGUAAAAAUAGCCUGAUGAGCGUUAAGUUUGGAAUCUAUUUUCAAUUUUUACGGGGAAGCAAUAUUUGGAAUAUUUCACAUUUGCAAUGUUCAAUUUAAGAAAUCAUCAAAUUUAAGAUGUUAUUUGGAAAUCGAAUAAUUUUUUAUGAUCAUUUUUCGUAUUACCUACGUAGCUUGUUAUAAUGAAAAUUUCAAUUGCUCGCAAACUAUUCGAAUUUUGUACAUUUAUUUUCGAAUGCGUAUUCCUGACUGCCAUUUCUAUCGAUACAUCAUUUUUGACAAGAAAUACGAUGUAGACGUAAAAAGAGGGAGUAAAGCUGUACGAGUUGCAAGAAACGAAUGAAUCCACCCUUUUGUACGUGCAUCCCUUGCAUGAAAUACAAUGAGCAGCAGUUUUAACAGCUGCGUCACUUGUAGCGUACACAUUUAUUACUAUCGCGCGUGAUUAAUUGCUAUUUUGUUCUUUCAUCGUGUGUUUUGUAUUCUUGUGCGGACUUUUUAAAAAACUAGAAAUCAUAAAUAUAAUAUUUUGUAUCGCGGAGAGGCGUGUGGCACUGACUAGCAUACAGUACCAACCAAAAUUAGUUCUGCGUCUUUUCACCAGAUGCUAGUACAUUGCUUUUAUUUGUUAUAAAAAAAUGAAAAUAAUAAUUCUGUGUAACAUAUUUCAGAGUCAUAUUGUUUAUUCCAUUAUUUUCGCUCUUCUGGCACGUUAAAUGUAUACGUUGAUAUUUCGGGUGUAAAAAGUUAUCUUCUAGAGCUGAUAUUUUCUUUCUCAGUUAAGUAAAUGAUCUUUUUCUGUUAUGUCUACUAUAUCUAGUUGUCAGCCCCAGUAUUGCGACUUUUUCUUGUAUAUUAUAUACAUUAUAAUCUAAACGUUUCCAUAUGUUUGUUAUCUCGUACCAAUCAUUCAGCCAUCGACCAGUACAGAUUACACUUUUUUAUCUGUUAAUUUAAUUUGUUGGCAAUUGAAAUUAAAUUAGAAGAUGUUUAUUUACUCUUUCUUUUACCUUUUGUCUAAAAUUCCAAAACAGAAAGAAAGAAAAUUGACAGACGAGAACAAUGUUGAAUGUGGCUUUGAAGCUACUCCCCGAAAAUAAAAUGAGCCAAAGGCAAGCUGCUGAGGCUUUCAAUGUUUCAAAAAUGACGAAUGUAAAAGCUAGGCACACGUCGAAUACACUAAGACUAAGAAAACAUUAAUUAUUGUACUUGCGAUGCAUAUUAGAAUAAAAUUUGAAUAAUAAUGUA